CUUAUCUUAACAUCCCUCACCUCUGUGAACCGUUUGACCUCCGGGUCUAACAAACUAUACAAACAUCAGUGUAAUGAACGUCUUGUUAUCUUAACAAAAACAAAACUUUUAACAACGGAUCUCUUGGCUCUCGCAUCGAUGAAGAACGCAGCGAAAUGCGAUAAGUAAUGUGAAUUGCAGAAUUCAGUGAAUCAUCGAAUCUUUGAACGCACCUUGCGCCUUUUGGUAUUCCGAAAGGCAUGCCUGUUUGAGUGUCAUGAAAUCUCAAUCCCAUCUGGUUUAUGAUCAGGUGUCGGACUUGGACGUGGGCGUCUGCCGGUUACACGGCUCGCCUCAAAUGACUUAGUGGGAUCGCUAGCAUCCGUGACAGACGUAAUAAGUUUCGUCUUGUCCCUUGCGUGCGUCAAGCCUGCUCAGAACCCCGCUUGCCUCUGUGCAACACUUUUUUGACUCUGACCUCAAAUCAGGUAGGACUACCCGCUGAACUUAAGCAUAUCAAUAAGCGGAGGA
rnacentral:rRNA from 1 species